rnacentral:rRNA from 1 species
AUUGAACGCUGGCGGCAUGCUUUACACAUGCUAGUCGAACGGCAGCGCGGGCUUCGGCCUGGCGGCGAGUGGCGAACGGGUGAGUAAUACAUCGGAACGUGCCCAGUAGUGGGGGAUAGCUCGGCGAAAGCCGGAUUAAUACCGCAUACGACCUGAGGGUGAAAGCGGGGGAUCUUCGGACCUCGCGCUAUUGGAGCGGCCGAUGGCAGAUUAGCUAGUUGGUGGGGUAAAGGCCUACCAAGGCGACGAUCUGUAGCUGGUCUGAGAGGACGACCAGCCACACUGGGACUGAGACACGGCCCAGACUCCUACGGGAGGCAGCAGUGGGGAAUUUUGGACAAUGGGCGAAAGCCUGAUCCAGCAAUGCCGCGUGUGUGAUGAAGGCCUUCGGGUUGUAAAGCACUUUUGGCGGGAACGAAAAGGACUGUGCCAAUACCACGGUUCGAUGACGGUACCCGCAGAAUAAGCACCGGCUAACUACGUG